rnacentral:rRNA from 1 species
GACGAACGCUGGCGGCGUGCUUAACACAUGCAAGUCGAACGGAAAGGCCCUGCUUUUGUGGGGUGCUCGAGUGGCGAACGGGUGAGUAACACGUGAGUAACCUGCCCUUGACUUUGGGAUAACUUCAGGAAACUGGGGCUAAUACCGGAUAGGAGCUCCUGCUGCAUGGUGGGGGUUGGAAAGUUUCGGCGGUUGGGGAUGGACUCGCGGCUUAUCAGCUUGUUGGUGGGGUAGUGGCUUACCAAGGCUUUGACGGGUAGCCGGCCUGAGAGGGUGACCGGCCACAUUGGGACUGAGAGACGGCCCAGACUCCUACGGGAGGCAGCAGUGGGGAAUAUGGCACAAUGGGCGGAAGCCUGAUGCAGCAACGCCGCGUGCGGGAUGACGGCCUUCGGGUUGUAAACCGCUUUCGCCUGUGACGAAGCGGGAGUGACGGUAAUGGGUAAAGAAGCACCGGCUAACUACGUG